rnacentral:rRNA from 1 species
CGGAGCGAAUGGAUUAAGAGCUUGCUCUUAUGAAGUUAGCGGCGGACGGGUGAGUAACACGUGGGUAACCUGCCCAUAAGACUGGGAUAACUCCGGGAAACCGGGGCUAAUACCGGAUAACAUUUUGAACUGCAUGGUUCGAAAUUGAAAGGCGGCUUCGGCUGUCACUUAUGGAUGGACCCGCGUCGCAUUAGCUAGUUGGUGAGGUAACGGCUCACCAAGGCAACGAUGCGUAGCCGACCUGAGAGGGUGAUCGGCCACACUGGGACUGAGACACGGCCCAGACUCCUACGGGAGGCAGCAGUAGGGAAUCUUCCGCAAUGGACGAAAGUCUGACGGAGCAACGCCGCGUGAGUGAUGAAGGCUUUCGGGUCGUAAAACUCUGUUGUUAGGGAAGAACAAGUGCUAGUUGAAUAAGCUGGCACCUUGACGGUACCUAACCAGAAAGCCACGGCUAACUACGUGCCAGCAGCCGCGGUAAUACGUAGGUGGCAAGCGUUAUCCGGAAUUAUUGGGCGUAAAGCGCGCGCAGGUGGUUUCUUAAGUCUGAUGUGAAAGCCCACGGCUCAACCGUGGAGGGUCAUUGGAAACUGGGA